rnacentral:rRNA from 1 species
CGUGCGGGUGCUACCAUGCAAGUCGAACGUGAUCCGCCCUUCGGGGUGGUGAAAGUGGCGCACGGGUGAGUAACGCGUGGAUAAUCUGCCCGAGGAUUUGGGAUAACAUCUCGAAAGGGGUGCUAAUACCGAAUAAGCCCACGGGGUCUACGGAUCUUGCGGGAAAAGGGGGGGACCUUCGGGCCUCCUGUCCUUGGAUGAGUCUGCGUACCAUUAGCUAGUUGGUGGGGUAAUGGCCUACCAAGGCGACGAUGGUUAGCUGGUCUGAGAGGAUGAUCAGCCACACUGGAACUGAGACACGGUCCAGACUCCUACGGGAGGCAGCAGUGGGGAAUUUUGCGCAAUGGGGGAAACCCUGACGCAGCAACGCCGCGUGGGUGAUGAAGGCCUUCGGGUCGUAAAGCUCUGUCUGGAGGGAAGAAAUGAUUGGGAGCUAAUACCUCUUGAUCUUGACGGUACCUCUGAAGGAAGCACCGGCUAACUCCGUGCCAGCAGCCGCGGUAAUACGGAGGGUGCAAGCGUUGUUCGGAAUUAUUGGGCGUAAAGCGCGUGUAGGCGGUCUUUUAAGUCUGAUGUGAAAGCCCCGGGCUCAACCUGGGAAGUGCAUUGGAAACUGGGAGGCUUGAGUACGGGAGAGGAGAGUGGAAUUCCUAGUGUAGGAGUGAAAUCCGUAGAUAUUAGGAGGAACACCGGUGGCGAAGGCGGCUCUCUGGACCGAUACUGACGCUGAGACGCGAAAGCGUGGGUAGCAAACAGGAUUAGAUACCCUGGUAGUCCACGCCGUAGACGAUGAGUACUAAGGUGUUUGCGGGUAUUGACC